rnacentral:tRNA from 1 species
UGCGCGGUGGAGAAGCGGUAUCUCGUCGGGCUCAUAACCCGAAGAUCGACGGUUCGAACCUGCCCUGCGCAACCA